UCUGUCAACUAAUCAUGAGCCGAAACAAUUUUAGUUUUUUUUUCGAGAAUUCCCAGUUUUGGACUGUUCCCCUAAAUAAAGUGUUCAUGGCUCGAACAUUAGAGGCAUUAUUAGGCAGAUUCUCAUAGGCCCUGGUCAGUUCUCUCUUCUUUUUUUUCUUUUUUUUUUUGACCAAUACUACCUGCAAAGCCAGUACCGAAUCAGCUUUGACUUCUUCCAUGUAGGCAUGUAGCAGAUGACACAUUUUCAGCACGAGGCCUCCACUUCAAUUUUCACCUGAAAACAGCAAAUUUAAAAAAAUCAAAGCGGAUCACCUAAAGUCUGUCCACAAAUAUUCGGCACACCGAGAUAUCUACCUUCCUGUAUCACUUUUCACAAACUGCACGUACCAACUAUAGUAGAUAGACACAAGGGCGAUCUUGGAAUCAUCCAUUGGCUGUCAGGAAUUGACAGCUGAACCACCAAGCAGACCCAGAUGAAGAGAUGAUGGUACAUCGCCUCUUUGUCAGAUUGUUCUGCGCCUCUUGUGCUCACACACACCCCUUUUUGCCUCCGAUCAAUU
rnacentral:lncRNA from 1 species